CUACGGGUGGCAGCAGUGGGGAAUACUGCACAAUGGGGGAAACCCUGAUGCAGCGACGCCGCGUGAGCGAGGAAGUAUUUCGGUAUGUAAAGCUCUGUCAGCAGGGGAGAAGAAUGACGGUACCUGAAGCAGAAGCACCGGCUAAAUACGUGCCAGCAGCCGCGGUAAUACGCAUGGUGCAAGCGUUAUCCGGAUUUACGGGGUGUAAAGGGAGCGCAGGCGGUUCUGCAAGUCUGAUGUGAAAGCCCGGGGCUCAACCGCGGGAGUGCAUUGGAAACUGGGGGACUGGAGUGUCGGAGGGGUAAGCGGAAUGCCUGGUGUAGCGGUGAAAUGCGUAGAUAUCGGGAGGAACACCGGUGGCGAAGGCGGCAUACUGGAGGAGGACUGACGCUGAGGCUCGAAAGCGUGGGGAGCAAACAGGAUUAGAUACCCCAGUAGUC
rnacentral:rRNA from 1 species